UCAUCAUCAUUUUCCGCAAAAAGGGCUCUGAAAAACAAUCAGAUUUGGAACCCUAGAGAAGCAUUUAAAAGUUCAGCUACUAUACCCUUGGUUUUUAGUUCGACUGUUCUUCUAAUUUUAGCAACGAUUAAAAAUUCUUGCUUGGAUUUCUGGUUUUCUGGUUCAAAUUUGGUUUAAGCUGAGGUUGUGCACUCUUUUCGUUGGCUGUUCAUUUCUUGCUGAAGUUCUCACUGUAUUCUUUGCUGCAUCCAGGUACUCCAUGAACUUUGAUUGACAAAAGAUGAAGUUGUAACCUUUUAUUUUAUAAUGAAACUUCAAGAUCUUUUUCUUAUAAUGUAUUCUAUGUAUUUAGUUUAUUGUUUUGUCUUUUUAACUCUGUGUAAGCAUACUGAAAUUAGUGUUCUAUAACUUGGUCAUAAUGUUUAGGUAUUUGAAGACCUGAAUUAGUUUUAGUCACUUUAUGAAGGUUGGACAGAUCGUUAUGCCUAACAGUUUGUAAUUUAACGGGACUUUUGAUAAAAAAUGUUGAUUGACAUAGCAUUUCAGUUGAUUAAUUGGAUGGAAAAUGAAGGUUAAAGCUAGCUAUUACUGUAAAAGGGGCGAUCACUGUAUUUUAGUGAUUGAUUACCUAAAAUGAAGUUCGUGACCAAUUCUGGGAAUGACCGUACAUGUACA
rnacentral:lncRNA from 1 species